rnacentral:lncRNA from 1 species
CGUCCUCCUCCCGCCUGUCCUUGGUCCACUCUUCUCUCAGUCGGUGCUCCACGGCCCUGUUUGGGGCUCGCCUGAGUGCUGGGCUCUGUAGACGCGGAGUGGGCCAGGCGAGCCCCUGACCCCCGGAGGUAGCAGAUCCAGAGGAAUCAGCAGAGGCUUCCUGGAGGAGGUUUUUGUACCCCUAGGAGGACUGUGUCUUCCUCAUCUUUGUCUUCAGAAGAUAAAUACAAGGCCUGACACAGCAAGCAUUAGGUGCCAUCUAAUCACCCUGGAUCUCCUAACGGGUCUCUCCACUCCACCCUGGAUUUCCUGCCUUACCCUUCACAAGCAGCCAUGGUGGGUUCCUUCAAAUACAACUCUUCAAAGAAAUAUUUUUAAUAUUAAAGACACUUUAUCAUGAAAGCAAUACUUGCUUAUUGAGCAAAAUGUCAAACACUACAGAGAGG